CUUGGCAGGGUCUGCUGGAAAGAAGGAGAGGCCAAGAGGGAGGAGGUGACCCAGAGUAGGAGAACUGGUUGGGCUAAAACCCAGCCUUCAACAACCCCAAAUCUAAGAAGCCCCCCCUACAUCCCCCAAUUUGGAGCACCCAACUUUUCUUCUGUUCCUUUCUCCCACUCCCUGUAUAACUUUUUCCCCAGAAACUGGCACAGAAGCUGGGCACCCUGGCUCCUCUCCUAGUCCCCUCUUCCCUCUGGAUGCCAGUUUAACACUCUCCUGGACAAGGAAAAGCCUGCUAGAGUAAGGGUCACAGCCAAAGGUGCGCAAGACAGGAGCGAUCUCAUCAGCCCCAGAGGAGCCUGGGGAGAGGGAGAGCCUCAAAGACAAGAUCUCACUUUGUUGACCUCCCAAAGUGCUGGAAUUAUAGGCAUGAGCCACUGUGCCCUGCCCAAGAGUAAUGUUGAUGAGAGGGUCCGUGAGGUUCAUCUAUCUGUAGUGCUUCUGGCCAGAGAAAAGGCCGAAGAGAGAAAUCCCUGAGGAACAUCUUUGACCUGCAUAGAAACUUAUCCGGAGAUUUUCAGAAUCUGAGCCUCACCCUCAGUCUAUCCCAGUUUUAUCCUGACCUGUCCACAUCUGUUACACUCCAAGGCUUGCUGGGCCCAACACUGGAAGCCAUUUAAAGUUUCUAUUGCGACUGGCCUUUUAAAGCCAGUGGGAUUCUCCAUGCUACACUUGAGCCUGGAGACUAGAAAAAAUGAUAGCCUGUUUUCAUUAAUCCGUUUUCAUUAACUGCUAUGGUCUGAAUGUUUAUGUUGUCCACAAAUUCGUAUAUUAAAAUCCUAACUCCCAGCUGGACUCAGUGGGUCACACCUGUAAUCUCAGCACUUUGGAAGGCUGAGGCAGGUGGAUCACUUGAGGUCAGGAGUUUGAAACCAGCCUGGCCAACACGGCAAAACCCCGUCUCUACUAAAAAUGCAAAAAUUAGCCGGGCAUAGUGGUUGGGCUAAUCCCAGCUACUGGGGAGGCUGAGGCAUGACAGUCGCUUGAAUCCUGGGACUGGAGGUUGCAGUGCCCCAGGAUCAUGCCACUGCAUUCCAGCCUGAGCAAUAGACAGCGAGACUCCGUCUCAAAAUAAAUACAUAAAUAAAUGAAAUCCUAACUCCCAAAGUCAUGGUAUUAGAUGGGGCAUUUUGGGGGGUGAUUAAGUUUUAUGAGGGCAGAGCCUUUCUGAAUGGGAUUCAUACUCUUAUAAAUAGGCCCAAGGAAACUCAUUCACCCCUUCUGUCAUGUGAGGACACAGCAAGAAGGUGCCAUCUAUAGACCAGAAAGCAGCCCUCACCAAAUACUGAAUCUGCCAGCACCUUGAUCUUAGACUUCUCAGCCUUCAGAACUCUGAGAAAUAAAUGUCUGUUGUUUAUAAGCCACGCAGUUUGACAUU